rnacentral:rRNA from 1 species
GUGCCAGCCGCCGCGGUAAUACGGAGGAUCCAAGCGUUAUCCGGAUUUAUUGGGUUUAAAGGGUGCGUAGGCGGGCUAUUAAGUCAGCGGUGAAAGUUCGUGGCUCAACCACGAAAUUGCCGUUGAAACUGGUAGCCUUGAGUGUAGAUGAGGUGGGUGGAAUUCGUAGUGUAGCGGUGAAAUGCAUAGAUAUUACGAAGAACUCCAAUUGCGUAGGCAGCUCACUAGACUACAACUGACGCUGAGGCACGAAGGUGCGGGGAUCAAACAGGAUUAGAUACCCCUGUAGUCC